rnacentral:rRNA from 1 species
AUGGAACCUGCAGCGAACGCCCAGUCAGGAACCAGCGGUGGUGGCGGCGCCGCCAGAAGGCCGGAUCUGGGUGAUUUCCUAGAGCAACUCAAUCUGGACAACACAGACUUUGAUGAUCUGGUAAUUGAUGAGGACGAUCCUGUGAUCAACGAGUGCGUGAGAUGGUUGGCCCUUGCUAGGGUUCAUACAGAGAAAAGCUUCAGCCAGGCAGCCUUCUACUGGGAUAUGCGGGCGGCGUGGAACACUGCGCAGCAUGUAAGGUUUCGGCCAGUCGGCCCGAAUCUGUUUGUUGUCCAAGCAUCGUGCCUAGGCGAUUGGGAGCGGAUACUCGAGCAAGGCCCUUGGCUGUUCAGAAACUGGAUUGUGCCGAUGUGCCCAUACGAUGGAUUCACGAAGGCAGAAGAGGUAUCGAUGGUGUUUAUGCCAAUUUGGCUGCAGAUCCACAAACUCCCGGACGGAUUCUGCAAGAGAAGUAUAGUAGAGUCCUUACUCAAGAACGUUGGGGAAAUCAUGGAGAUGAGAUUAAACGGAAAUACCCGUGGUGAUUAUGUCAGAAUUAGGGUUCGCCAUGAUGUUCGCGAGCCCCUCACAAAAUACGUCAGUAUUGUUAGGGGUCAAAAGCGGCAGGUGUUUUUGGUGCGCUAUGAGAAGCUGGCUCGAUUCUGCAGUGUGUGUGGAAUAGUUGGACACGACUUCAAGAUGGCAUUAACAAUACACGAUCGGAGGAUGUGUUUGGUCGAGGUAUAA